UACGUGCGGGGCGAACGUUGUUCGGUGUCACUGGGCUUAAAGGGUGCGUAGGUGGUUGUGUAAGUAACGUGUGAAAUCCCUCGGCUUACCCGGGGAAUUGCAUGUUAUACUGCAUGACUUGAGGACUAAAGGGGAAAAGGGAACUCCAGGUGUAGCGGUGAAAUGCGCAGAUAUCUGGGGGAAGGCCGGCGGCGAAGGCGCUUUUCUGGUUAGUACCUGACACUGAGGCACGAAAGCGUGGGGAGCAAACAGG
rnacentral:rRNA from 1 species